UACGGAGGGUGCAAGCGUUAUCCGGAUUCACUGGGUUUAAAGGGUGCGUAGGCGGAUAUGUAAGUCCGUGGUGAAAUCUCUGGGCUUAACCCGGAAACUGCCAUGGAUACUAUGUGUCUUGAAUGUUGUUGAGGUGAGCGGAAUAUGUCAUGUAGCGGUGAAAUGCUUAGAUAUGACAUAGAACACCAAUUGCGAAGGCAGCUCACUAAAGCAAAUAUUGACGCUGAGGCACGAAAGCGUGGGGAUCAAACAGG
rnacentral:rRNA from 1 species